AUCUUCUUUUCCAACAACUUUAAUUUAUUGGAAGAAAUGUAUUAUGGUAACGAAGACCCGAAGGAACAUGUUGAGCAAUAUAAUGAUUUUACGGAGAUUCUAGGUGUCUCGAAUGCAUUGCAGUGUAGAGUCUUCCCAAUCAACUUAAAAAUUCAUGCUAGUACUCCUCACUUCCUACAAGAUCCAUUUACAAUUUUAGCUAGCUAAAAGACCUUUUUGCAAGACACUUCCUACCUAACAAAGAUGUAGGGAAGACCAAAACUAGCUUGCUAGGGAUCAAGCAAGAAAAGAGAGAAUCUAUCAGGGCCUUUACUCGGUGAUUCAGCACAACAACGGUGGGGUGUCGAUGUCUGACAGGCAAUUGGGAUACACAAGCUUACAUUACAGGCUUGUGACACAACUACCUCAAAUAUAUCUUACCAACGAAAAGCCAAAGUCACUUAGCAUGAGUACGAUAAGACGAACAGGUUUGCAAAACCAGAGGAUGUUGAACAAGCUCACAAAACCUAUUUUCUCUCACAAACAAAAGCUUCGACGACAACUGAAGGGGUUAGCAAGGAGGUAAAGACUAAAAUAGGCGAACCCUUGCACUCGACGUAAACAAAGGGGUUGUUUUCUCCUUUGUCUCGGCAGCGCAGAGUAGAAAGGCAUUUGCCAAACGAGCCCAGAAGAUAAUUGCAUUUUGACGGUAACCAAGACCAGCAAACUAGAGCCCCUUCAUAAACUCCGCUAAACUCUUCUACAGCAUAAAUCUUGCAAGGUAGAAAAGGAAGGUAUUCUAGAGCCUCCUCUUCCAAUGAGGCCAAUGUUCUCACUGGUGCAAAUUUCAUGGGGAGGUAGAGCACAAAAUAGAUGAUUUUGUAUGCCUGAGAUGCAAUGAAGGAAGCAGUUCAACGUGGUCAUUUGAACCACUUUAUAAGGCAAAAAUUAAAGCUGUGGGGUACCUCACGAGAUAAAGAUGAUAAGGCAGAAAGGAAAAAGCUAGCUAGAGGAAUAAUUCGCAUGAUAACAAGGGUUACUGAUUGGAUGGCAGCCGGUUCUAAAAUGAAAACUUCUUCACACAGCGUCAUGUUAAUGAGCGCAACAAUCAAAAGGUCUUGGCAAACUGAGAACUAGAAGGUAAAUUUUGACAACUGCGAUUUGGUUACGGUACUAGAUGAGGUGGGUAAUGAACCUUUGGUGGUAACUGUGAUUGAAUUGAAGGCGGAUUUUUUUUUUCUCUGGAUCAAGACGGAUUGAGCAAGUCUCGGGUCGGGGUCAGAUCGAGCAAAAAUUCACCCCGUCCGGUCUCCAUCUCUAUUCAUCUUGAGUCCAUCUACCCAUUCGGCUCUCUGUCCUAGAAUGGGUGAAUCGAGCUUCCUCGACACAACUCGCUCUUAUUCUUUUUCACUUUCGUUGAUACCAUGCAACAGCAAUGGUGCGGUGAACUUGGAUAGAUUAUAUAAAAAUAAAACUCUCAGAUUAGAUCACCGUUGAUUUGCCAACUUAAGAUGAGGUGAACGGCUCUUGUAAAUAUUCUGGAAAAUCGGUUCUUCAGAAGGGACAAUGGGUGUAGUACCGCUGGCUCUCCCUAAUCUUUGCCCAUCCAACAAGUUUUUCGCUCAAAACCCAAGGCAGAUUCAAUAGCUUGCUCUAUCACCCCCUACUUCUUCUCUUCCUAUGCAAAAUUUUACUCCAACAGACUGGUGAUUAAUAUCUGCACGAAAAGUGUUCGACAAAAUGCGUGAGAGGAACCCGGUUACAUGGGCUUGCUUGAUCUUGGGGUACAACCAAAAUGGAAUGCCUAAUAAUGCGCGUGAGGUUUGUGAAGAGAUAAUUUCUAUGGGUGUAUAGCCUCUCGUGAUGCCUUCGACAGUGUUCUUCGAGCUCGGAUCAUGUGGUCUUCGUUAUGGUUUGCAAAUUCACAGGUAAUAACAUGACAAACACGUGGGGAUUUGUUCUUAUAUAUGUAAUAGUACCAGCUAUUUAUUAUUACUGUUCAAGAUCUUGUAUCUGUUGUUUAGUUAGUUUAACUAGCCUUUGGAUCAAAUGAAGAAAUUUAAUCGUUGAAUUAUUUGUAUCUGAUUAUUAUGCUCUCUCUGAUCAGUAGAACGCUUAGCAAGUUCAUGGGAUCUUUCCAUUUUUUCAUAAA